rnacentral:rRNA from 1 species
GGCUUAGAGUUUGAUCAUGGCUCAGGAUGAACGCUGGCGGCAUGCCAAAGACAUGCAAGUCGAACGAGACGGCCCAAUGAAGAUGGAGUGCUUGCACAAAGUCAGAUUUGGAUUCCCGUCUAGUGGCGCAAGGGUGAGCAACACGUGGGUAAUCUGCCUUUGAGUCUGGAAUAACAGUUAGAAAUGAUUGCUAAUGCCGGAUGAUAUAUGAGAGGUAUACUUUCAUAUUAAAAGGAGCCCUUAAAGCUUCGCUUAAAGAUGAGCCCGCGCCGUAUUAGCUGGUUGGUGAGGUAAUGGCUUACCAAGGCGACGAUGCGUAGCCGACCUGAGAGGGUGAUCGGCCACACUGGGACUGAGACACGGCCCAGACUCCUACGGGAGACAGCAGUUAGGAAUAUUCGUCAAUGGAGGAAACUCUGAACGAGCAAUGCCGCGUGAAGGAUGACGGUCCUAUGGAUUGUAAACUUCUGUUGUUAGGGAAGAACGACCUAAGUAGGAAAUGACUUAGGAGUGACGGUACCUUUCAAGAAAGCUCCGGCUAACUACGUGCCAGCAGCCGCGGUAAUACGUAGGGAGCGAGCGUUAUCCGGAUUUAUUGGGUGUAAAGGGUGCGUAGGCGGCUUUAUAGGUCUGUGGUUUAAGCCCGAAGCUUAACUUCGGUUCGCACAGAAACCGUUUAGCUUGAGUAUGGUAGAGGCAAGUGGAAUUUCUAGUGUAGCGGUUAAAUGCGUAGAUAUUAGAAGGAACACCAGUGGCGAAGCGACUUGCUGGGCAUCACUGACGCUGAGGCACGAAAGCGUGGGGAGCAAAUANAUUAGAUACCCUAGUAGUCCCCGCCGUAAACGUGGAUACUAAGUGUCGAGUUUC